UCACCUUAUCUACAUAGAUCGUGUGCUGUGCCGUCCCUCCCUCAGAGCGCAGAACAAAAAGCUCAGCCAUCGGCCGGAGAGCACGCGAGAAAUCAAUUCGUCCGACGACAUGGCGGCGGGAGCAGCGGGAGGAGGGAGUGACGAGCUCAAGCUGCUGGGGGCCUGGGUGAGCCCGUUCGUGCACCGGGUGCAGGUCGCGCUGCACCUCAAGGGGCUCACCGGCUACGAGUACGCCGAGGAGGACCUCACCAACAAGAGCGACCUCCUCCUCGCCUCCAACCCCGUGCACACCAAGGUCCCCGUGCUCCUCCAUGCCGGCAAGCCCGUCUGCGAGUCCAUGCUCAUCGUGCAGUACCUCGACGAGGCCUUCCCCCGUUCCGGCCCCGCCCUCCUCCCCGCCGACCCCCAUGACCGCGCCGUCGCGCGCUUCUGGGCCGCCUAUGCCGACGACCAGUUCUUUGCCUCGUGGAUCAAGGCGUUCGUGGGGAUGACGGACGAGGAGAGGGCGGCGGCGACGGAAGCCGCGGUGGCAGCGCUGCAGAAGAUGGAGGGCGCGUUCGGCGAGUGCUCCAAGGGCAAGGCCUUCUUCGGCGGCGACGGCCCGGGGUACGUGGACAUCGCGCUUGGCGGGUUCGUCGCGUGGAUACGCGCGUUCCACGCGGUGGCCGGCGUGAACCUCCUGGACGCCGCCCGGACCCCGUUGCUGGCGGCCUGGGCGGAGCGCUUUGCCGCGCUCGACGCCGCCAAGGAGGUCAUCCCGGACGUCGACCGCAUCGCCGAGUUCGCCAAGCACGAUCUGCUGCCGCUGCUCCAGAAACUGCAUCCGAAAAACUGACCAGUGAUACACAGUAGUGAUCGGCGAGCCGACCAUUUAAGGCGGAUUGUACUGCUAGCAGCAGGCCUCCAAUUGGUGGCGGUGCUGCUGCUCGAAAUAAGGAUGCACAGUGGUUCGAAAAAAAUGCGUUACUCAGCAAUCGUGGCUUGUUACACAUGCACUUGGUAGUAAUCCUUCUGCAUGUAUCUUCUUCAUGUGUGACAUUACAAAGAUAAUAAAAGUGCCUUUUCAAAUA